CUCCGCUUGGUGUAGUUGGUUUAUCACGUUCGGCUGUAAUAUCUGUUGUUACCGAAAGGGUGAGUCAAAGCCUCCUGUUGUAAUGAUACUUGUCUAACUUCCCAAUUGUCCCUAGUUCGAUUCUGGGAGCGGAGA